UGUUGAACUUGAGUGCAGAAGAGGAGAGUGGAACUCCAUGUGUAGCGGUGGAAUGCGUAGAUAUAUGGAAGAACACCAGUGGCGAAGGCGGCUCUCUGGUCUGUAACUGACGCUGAGGCUCGAAAGCAUGGGUAGCGAACAGGAUUAGAUACCCUGGUAGUCCAUGCCGUAAACGAUGAGUGCUAAGUGUUGGGAGGUUUCCGCCUC
rnacentral:rRNA from 1 species